UACGUAGGGUGCAAGCGUUGUCCGGAAUUACUGGGCGUAAAGAGCUCGUAGGUGGUUUGUCGCGUUGUUCGUGAAAACUCACAGCUCAACUGUGGGCGUGCGGGCGAUACGGGGCAGACUUGAGUACUGCAGGGGAGACUGGAAUUCCUGGUGUAGCGGUGGAAUGCGCAGAUAUCAGGGAGGAACACCGGUGGCGAAGGCGGGGUCUCUGGGGCAGUAACUGACGCUGAGGAGCGAAAAGCGUGGGGGAGCGAACAGG
rnacentral:rRNA from 1 species